AUGUAGUGUAGCAUGCCCGUUUGGGUUGAACUCUGAUGUUGAAUUAAUUAGUAUUUAAUUACUUUUGGGUAACGGGGUGUUACAAUCAUG
rfam:Medicago truncatula strain A17 chromosome 5, whole genome shotgun sequence.